GACGAACGCUGGCGGCGUGCUUAACACAUGCAAGUCGAACGGAAAGGCCCUGCCUUUGUGGGGUGCUCGAGUGGCGAACGGGUGAGUAACACGUGAGUAACCUGCCCUUGACUUUGGGAUAACAUCAGGAAACUGGGGCUAAUACCGCAUAGGAGCUCCUGCUGCAUGGUGGGGGUUGGAAAGAUUCGGCGGUUGGGGCUGGACUCGCGGCUUAUCAGCUUGUUGGGGGGGUAGGGGCUUACCAAGGCUUUGACGGGUAGCCGGCCUGGGAGGGGGACCGGCGACAUGGGGACUGAGGUACGGCCCAGACGGCUACGGGAGGCAGUAGUGGGGAAUAUUGCACAAUGGCCGGAAGCCUGAGGCAACGACGCUGCGUGCGGGAUGACGGGUUUCGGGUUGUAAACCGCUGUCGCCUGUGCCGAAGCGGGAGUGACGGUAAUGGGUAAAGAAGCACCGGCUAACUACGUG
rnacentral:rRNA from 1 species